GGAAGUAAAAGUCGUAACAAGGUUUCCGUAGGUGAACCUGCGGAAGGAUCAUUACUAGUAUGGCGAAUCGAGCGUUAGCGAGGUUUUGCGAUCUAAUUUAUAUUUAAAACCUCACUCUUUAAAUGUAUUAUAUUGUAUUUUUGAUAAAUAAAAAAGAUCACUUUCAACAACGGAUCUCUUGGCCCUCGCAUCGAUGAAGAACGUAGCGAAGUGCGAUAAGUAGUGUGAAUUGCAGAAUUCCGUGAAUCAUCGAAUCUUUGAACGCAAAUUGCACUCUCUGGUAUUCCGGAGAGUAUGCCUGUUUGAGGGUCAAUUAAAUAAAAUCGGGCGUUUUUACUGUCCGGAAUUGGGUCGUCAUAACUUCGGUUAAGUGACCUAAAAUUUUGUAUGAUUUUUGAACGUAUUUAAAUUUAUUUGUACGUUUGAGAUAUCGAAUGUUUAUUAGGUUCGGUCAUUCUAAUGACUCGCGCCUAUAGUUUUUCAUUAAAUGACCUCAAAUCAGGUAAGAAUACCCGCUGAACUUAAGCAUAUCAAUAAGCGGAGGA
rnacentral:rRNA from 1 species